rnacentral:lncRNA from 1 species
AUUUUAUAGUUCCGAGGGUUUACUCUUUAAUGGGUGAAAAUUUACUUCAACUUGUAGGUACAUACAACCAACAGUUGGAGCAAAAUUUUUAGACAGAUGGAACAAGAAGUUUAAAAUGUAGGAUAUACACCACAAGAUCAAAUCGGAACUUGCAAUGUUCUCCAUCGGCGGGUCGAACAUAUUAGGCAUAUGAAUAUCACGAUGUUCCGGGCGACGUAUCCAUCAUGAGCUGGAUAACAUCUUAUCACGAUUCUGCAUUACCUAACAUAUGAAAAAAUGAUUAAAUAAAGUUUAUUAGUUCAUCACUGAA